GCGGCUGUAGCUCAGCGGUAGAGCAGUGAGUGACUUCUACAAACGUGGAAAACAACAAACUAACAGCGCCAUAGUCUGACUGCAGUAGUGCUAUCAGAGGGUACUGAGUUCGACUCUCAGCAGCCGCU